rnacentral:sRNA from 1 species
CCUGGUAGCACCUUGGCGUGGGGACCCAAGGUGCGUGGGUUCGAAACCCGCAGGGGAACACCAAAUCCGGAGCCACUUUUCAGCUCCUUAAAUAAGGGAAUGUGAACUUGCCAAGUAGGUACCUUCGGGCGGACCUACUACCUGAUUUAGCUGAUUUUUCCUGGGCUGGGAACCUGUAUUGCAUGUACCAAUCCUGUCUCUCAUUUGAUUUUCCUAUGUUUACUAGUUAUAUCUUGGCACAUUUUCAACACUAGCAUUCCUCCUGUAUAACCAACUCUUGCCUGUAUUUAACAUCACACAAGGACUCAUCAUAAGCACCGCUUGCAUAUGAGUAUAAGGAAGAAUAAUAAUAAUAAUAAUAUGUAUUUACUAG